GGCCAGACUCCUACGGGAGGCAGCAGUGGGGAAUAUUGCACAAUGGGGGAAACCCUGAUGCAGCGACGCCGCGUGAGUGAAGAAGUAUUUCGGUAUGUAAAGCUCUAUCAGCAGGGAAGAAAAUGACGGUACCUGACUAAGAGGCCCCGGCUAACUACGUGCCAGCAGCCGCGGUAAUACGUAGGGGGCAAGCGUUAUCCGGAUUUACUGGGUGUAAAGGGAGCGUAGACGGCAUGGCAAGUCAGAUGUGAAAGCCCGGGGCUCAACCCCGGGACUGCAUUUGAAACUGUCAGGCUGGAGUGCAGGAGAGGUAAGUGGAAUUCCUAGUGUAGCGGUGAAAUGCGUAGAUAUUAGGAGGAACACCAGUGGCGAAGGCGGCUUACUGGACUGUAACUGACGUUGAGGCUCGAAAGCGUGGGGAGCAAACAGGAUUAGAUACCCUAGUAC
rnacentral:rRNA from 1 species